rnacentral:rRNA from 1 species
AUUGAACGCUGGCGGCAGGCCUAACACAUGCAAGUCGAGCGGAGCGGCGGACGGGUGAGUAAUGCCUAGGAAUCUGCCUGGUAGUGGGGGAUAACGUCCGGAAACGGGCGCUAAUCCCGCAUACUAUCGGCUUAGCCUAGGUCGGAUUCGCUAGUUGGUGGGGUAAAGGCGUACCAAGGCGACGAUCAGUAACUGGUCUGAGAGGAUGAUCAGUCACACUGGAACGGAGACACGGUCCAGACUCCUACGGGAGGAAGCAGAGGGGAAUAUUGGACAAUGGGCGAAAUCCUGAUCCAGCCAUGCCGCGUGUGUGAAGAAGGUCUUCGGAGGGUAAAGCACGUUAAGUUGGGAGGCGUUACCAACAGAAUAAGCAACGGCUAACUUCGUGCCAGCAGCCGCGGUAAUAC